rnacentral:lncRNA from 1 species
AUCAAUCUUGACUAUUUUUCUCGGCUUUAAUUCCCGACUCCUAUCACAGGGCGGUUCUAGGGAGCGUGAGCGACUACUGUGCUCAUCAUGCUCAUUGCUCGGUGAUGAUCGUGAAGAAGCCUAAGAUCAAGCACUGAUGAUCACCUAAACCCAAGCUGUUAUAUCAGUCAAAGCAAAGCAAAGUCUCAUCUGCAUAGUCGUCAGUUUCGGUGAAAUGAAAUAAAAUUGUGAAACGAUCCAAUCUAUAUAUUAAUAUUCGUGUGUAAAUUGGUUAUUGUAUUCAUAAACUAUUUUAUAUAUUGACGUUUGAUAAUACUAUUGUGGUUAUCUGCUUACCUACAAACAAGUAAACAAAAUAAGUUUUAAAAAACCUCAUAUGAGUGAGAAGACUGUUAUGGAUGAAUAUUGUUGGCUAAUGAUUCAGGGACAUGGAUAUAUCCGAAUAAAAUAAAAAAAAGAGAAGUGUUGAGACCAAUGUCAUUGUCUGGUUUUCAACAAGGGGAGGCAUGAUGACAUAUAUGUGAAAAAAGAUUAUUACCGCAUCGGCUUUCGAAAAGGCAGACUAAUUCGGAGAGAGAGAGAGAGCGACUGAGAUGAUUUUUGUUUGACAUUUUUCGAAAACGAGAUUUUUUUUGUUGUGUUCCGUCCGAUUGAGGCUUGGUGGAGACAUGGCCGGAGCUAAUGAUGAUGAUUAUGAUCGUAACAACCGCCGGAUUGCUAACUGAUAUAUUUCAAGGACAAAGCUAAUACCCAUUUCUGGGUAUGCAAAUAUGGCUAACCCACUAUAAAUACACAUUCUUGUUUUGAGUCCUGAGGCAUUCAUCACCUCUCUUCUUCUUCAUCCUUCUUCUAUAUUUUUUCUUUGGUUUAAGCUGGGAAAUGGAUGUACUGAAGUUUGAUUACAACCACAAGGGUGACAAUGCAUUAAAGGAGCUCGAGAGGAUCACCUCGAAGGCUGCUGAAGUCCAAGAUAAUAUGUUAAGUGGGAUCUUAGAAAGAAACAAGGACACACAGUACUUGAGAAAGUACAUGAAAGGCUCUAAGGACGUUAUGGAGUUUAAACGCUCUGUGCCAGUCAUCACGUACAAAGAUGUAUGUCCUUACAUUCAGAGAAUUGCAAAUGGAGAAGACUCUUCUCUGAUUACUGGUCAUCCUAUCACUGAGAUACUAUGCAGGUCGAUUUUUAUUUCUAGCCUGAAUCUCUUUCUUAGUAACAGCCUCCCCUUCCUUUGUGUUUGAAUAUAAAUUUGUGUAUGGCUAAAUAAAUGUAUCUGCUUGCUUUCAUGUUGCAGCUCAGGAACUUCUGGUGGAGAGCCGAAGCUAAUGCCAACCAUUUCGGAAGAUCUUGAUCGGCGCACCUUUGUCUACAAUCUUAUCAAUCCAAUCGCGAACAAGUUAGUACAAUGUUUCCUGUUAAUAUUCAGUCCUGAUAUACUUUAACAUCCUCCUUGUUGCUCUUAUAAGAGUAGUGAUUAGUGAAGAAGGAAUUACAUCUUCCAUGCACAUGAAUAUUUACUUGAUAAAAAACAAAGUGGCUGAUCUCAUAUUCCAUAAAAGAACCACUAGGACUGUUCCUGUAGUUGUAGGAUAGUGGAUAUGUCUCAAAAUCUGACCUAUGGAAGUGGAAGUACACAUCACAUCACAAUUCCUCCAUGUUAUUAUCCACUGGAAACAUUUAAUAAAAAAGGAAAAAAAUUAAAAAGGUUAACGAUAGGCUUCAAUGUGAAUAUGGCUUCAUAAUCAUUGUAGGCACUAACAUAUGGAAUCUGGAUACACAUGCAUAGAUGUACUGGCCGUGGUACCAAUAAAUCUUCAUAGUAGGUUGCUCACUAAGGAAGUUUGCUUUCUGCUUUGAGUUUUGUGUUUGCUUUUUGUGGAAAUUAAGUGGUAUCAUGUCAUGUACUAUAAAGUUUGCAUCCAUCAUCUUUUAUCCACACGCCAUUUUGAUGUCCCCACCCAAAGAUUCUCUGAGAAUUUUGAACAGCACUUACUAAACCUCAAGAAUCUUUUCAUAUCCACUACUGAUUUUUCUUUUCUUUCAUUUUACCUCUUUUACCAUCGUCUCUCUUUACUAUGUUUUUGACUGAGAUUUAUUAUAUGUAUUACUGACAGGUAUCUAGAAGGACUUGACAAAGGAAAAACAAUGUACCUAAACUUCGUCAAAGCUGAAACAUCAACUCCUUGUGGUUUACCAAUCAGAACUGUCCUCACUAGCUACUACAAGAGCAAACAUUUCCAGUGCCGACCUUACGAUCCAUUCAACGACUUAACCAGUCCCAUCCAAACCAUCCUUUGUGAAGACAGCAACCAAAGCAUGUACUGUCAGUUACUUGCCGCUCUUAUUCACCGUCACAAAGUCAUGCGUCUCGGAGCUGUCUUCGCUUCAGCCUUUCUCCGUGCAAUCUCUUAUCUCGAGCGAAAAUGGAGCCAGCUCUGCCAAGACAUCCGCACCGGCCAUCUCAGUCCCAUGAUCACCGAUCCAGGAUGCCAGACGGCUAUGACUUCUCUUCUAGCCUCGCCAAAUCCUGACUUAGCUGACGAGGUUGAAGAAAUCUGUGGACGCCCGUCGUGGAAAGGGAUUCUGUGUCAACUCUGGCCUCAAGCAAAGUUCAUUGAAGCAGUAGUGACAGGCUCAAUGGCUCAGUACAUACCAGCGCUUGAGUUCUUUAGCCAAGGCAAGAUUCCGUUGGUUUGUCCAAUGUAUGCUUCCUCCGAGACUUACUUUGGAGUCAACGUGAAGCCACUCUCCAAGCCAUCUGACGUCGUUUUCACGCUCUUGCCCAACAUGUGCUACUUCGAGUUCAUUCCUCUCGGCAAAAACGGAACUCUCUCUUUUGACGUAGAGGACGAAGAAGUCGUCCCCUGUGACAAAGUGGUUGACUUGGUCGACGUCAAACUCGGACGCUACUAUGAACUCGUCGUCACAACCUUCGCAGGUAAAGAAACUGGUGGCAUUGUCUUCUCCUUUUUAGUCAGCUCUGACUCUUGCAUGGAAACAGGAUUGUACCGUUACAGAAUCGGCGAUGUCCUUCAAGUGGCGGGGUUCUACAACAAAGCACCACAGUUCAGGUUUAUCUGCAGGAGAAACGUGGUUCUAAGCAUCGACUUAGACAAAACCAACGAGGAAGAUCUUCACAGGAGCAUCACGCUGGCCAAGAAGAAGCUUGAAAACAAGGCAUUCCUCGCGGAGUACACGAGCUACGCGGAUACUUCAUCAGUGCCAGGUCACUACGUGCUCUUCUGGGAGAUCCAAUGGCUCGAACCUGAUGAUGAGGAGGAGAAGCUGCUGAUGGAAGAGUGUUGCAUUGCGGUUGAGGAAGAGCUGGAUUACAUAUACAGGCAAUGCAGGAAGAGAGAUAGAUCGGUGGGGCCUUUAGAGAUAAGAGUGGUGAAGCCAGGGACGUUCGAGAAGCUGAUGGAUAUGAUAAUAAGCCAAGGAGGGUCGCUUAAUCAGUACAAAACGCCGAGAUGUGUUAAGUCCAACAGUGCUAUGCUCAAGCUCUUGGACGGCCACGUGACCGGUUCCUUCUCUAGCCCUCGUGAUCCAACCUGGUCCCCUUGAUGUCGAACGUAUGUAUUGAUCGGAGAGACUAUAAUUUACUAAUCAGUAUUCGGUAAUAACCAAAUGGGAUCGGAUUUGCUGUAAUGCUAGCAGUAGCAGGCAUGUAAUGCUACUACCUGAUUGAUUAAAAAAUGUUAUAAGAAACUUCAUUUACCGAGUUAUCUAUCUCUUAUAGUUCCUUUCAGUUUCUCGUCGCAUAAUAUAACUUUAGUACCGAGUUACUUAUAUCGUAUGAUUUACAAUAUAUUAAGGAAUUUUAAGACGAUCAUCAUCCUCAAGCCCUCUUGAAACAAAAGCUACUGUGGGAUUCUUUUUUUGUAUUCUCUGGCAUGGCUUCUGAGGAAGAGUUGUAUUCAUUGGGUGUUUGAAGUGUGUUUCCCGGCCCAAACAUAUAACACAAGAGUCCAAUCUGUUUAUCCAACUGUCGUUGGUUACAAAUUUAAUUACAUCAUCAUCCACUUUGUCGGCACUUAAUCUUAUCAGGAUCAUGGAUAAAUGCCAUGUGAUCUGUGAACAUGGCUUCUUAACGGACAGAAACCCCACGUACGCUGUCUCCCAAAACUUGAUUCGGAUAAUACUGAAAUGAAAAAGCAAUUAUUAUGAUUGUUUUUUGAUUUUUCUCUUGUGUUGAACAUAUAUAGUCAGCCAAAAGACAUGAAGCGCAUCUGGUGUAGUGGUAUCAUAGUACCCUCCCACGGUACUGACCAGGGUUCGAUUCCCUGGAUGCGCAUUUUUUUGUGCAAGAGUGUUCCGGUUUGGUUUGCAUAGGUUUUUUGGGCUUGGUUAAGGAUUAGUAGUGGAAACUGGCUUAGAUGCAUUCAGAUUAUCCAUCUCUUGGCCUAGAUUCCCAGUUAGUCUCUUAAACUUAUGCUCCUCUCUUUCCAUUUUCUUUAACUGGAAGGGAACCAAUUAAGAUCAUGAGCUCUUGUCUCAUUAAUUAGAAGGAAGAGGUCUUGUUAAGCCGAAAGGUCUAGAGUUCUACAAGAACUAAUAUAUUCAGUAUUGGAGGCUACAAAAAUGGGGGGUACAAAACCACCUGGUCGUUGUUCGGCCUGCUUCUCAGGGAACUCUUCCACUGAACCAUAUAUGGUAGCACAUAACUUGCUGCUUGCCCACGCCUCUGCUUCUAGACUAUAUAAGCAAAAGUACAAGGUAAUAUUUCAAAGUCCGGUAAUUGAAUAUGAUAAAGCUUAUUGUUUAGCUGCAUGAUCUCAGUUGUUUUAUUGCACAGCAUACACACAACACAUAAAAAAAAGAGCAGGAGGUACAUAACCUAAUAAUAAUGAUAAUAAGCAACAAAGGAACAAAUCAUUUAUGUCAAACGAAGGAAAAAUCUCAGGGAUGUAACAAAAGCACCAUAUGUCACUGCUUCUGGAGGUGAAGAACCUUAACCCAAGCAGGCCUGGCAGUGAUCUUCUUGAUCCACUCCUUAACCUUAGGGCGAGACUCAAAGAGCUUCUUGGAGUCGGUACCCAUCAAGUAAUAGAUGAUUGGGAGGUGGUGAAGAUCAGCCAGAGUGAAGCAAUCACCAGCCAAGAAGGGUGAUUUGGAGAGCCUGGCCUCGUAGAUAUCCAAGACCUUCACCAACUUAGCUUCGAGGUCUUCCACAGCGGCAGGGUCAGUGGUCAUGCCAAGCAUGCCUUUGAAGACACGCUCGAAGGCUAGCUUAGAGGCGAUAGGGUCAAACUGUUGACCUUCAACUUGAAGCCAGACCUUUGUGGUGGCCUUGAGUUUCUUGCAGCCUUGGCAGAGAAGCUUCUCGCCUUUGUCGCUGUACUCCUCCGCUAUGUACUCUGUGAUGGCUCUUGACUCUGAAAAACAAAAAUGAAUUCAUGUGUAUCAUUGAUACUUAACCAACACGUAAUGAAAACAGAUUAAGAAAAAAAAGGAACUAACCGAAAAGCGUCAGAUCACCGUCUAGGAGAGCAGGGAUUUGACCGAAGGGCUAAAAAAAAGAAAAAGGAAAGAGCAGAGUGGUCAGAUAUGUGAAUGUGAUGAUGAAAACCAAAUUAACCAAAGCUGUGUAGAGAGUUAUUACGUACGUUGAGGGAGAUGAGAGGCUCCUGCUUGUGAGCACCGGCUUUCAUGUCGACGGGGACUAUCUCGAAAUCGAGGCCCUUCUCGUAAAGAGUAGCCAGAACGCGCAUUGUGGCCGUUGAUAUUGGAAGUCCGUGUACUUUGAUGCCGCCGCCCAUGCUUAUAAGCUUUUAAUUGGAUCUGAAGGGGUGAAUGGUGGUGCAUGGUGUUUUAUAGGUGGAGGAGGAGGCAAGGCAAGAGAAGAAUAAGUCGUUGUUGCCAUUCUUUUCGUUUGCACAAACUUCUCACCACCACAUCACCACGUCUCCUCUUCCUCCUCCUUCUCCCACUUUCUCUCUGUUUAUUUGUAACCUCUAUUUUUUUUUUUUAUCGUUUUAACCCAUUUGGUUUUGUAACUACAGAUUCAUAUACAUACAUAAAAUAAAUAAAGAAGUUAACGUUGGUUAUGCCCCCAUGCAUGUUUAAGAAAAGUAAUUUAAUAUUUCAUGCAUGGUAUCAGGUAUCAAUCCACCAAAUUUGUUUAACGAUGGUAACGUUUUAAAUUUGAUUUAUAUCCGAAUUUAACGUUUAGGAUGGUUAUACCUAAUAUCAGUCAACAAAAAGAUAAAAUAAAAUAGAUAGAUAGAUAUAUAUUAGCGCCUAUUCAAAUCACAAAACAACAAGUGUAGGUCGGUGUAUAUGGGGUACAUAAAAAAAAUAUGUGGUGGAGGCAUAUGUUGGGUAUAAUAAUUACACCAAUCAAAAGAGAGCAUAAUCUAACGAGGACCAUCCACGUAAUAAAAAAAUAUCGCAUUCAUUCCUUACUCUUUCAGUUGUACUUGUAUACAAACUCCUUUCUAAAUUUUAUAAUCGGGAUCGAUCUCUCUUUCUCUGAAACAUUUUGGAAACUUCUAGGUAAGGCUUCUUCAUUCCAAAGCAAGACCACAAUUUUUCUUCAUGGCCACCGGAGAGGAGAAACCUGUUAUGGUCGUCGGUAUCGACGAAAGCGAGCAGAGCACUUACGCCUUGGAGUGGACCCUCGAUCGUUUCUUCACUCCCUACGCUCCUAAUUUUCCUUUCAAGCUCUUCAUCGUCCACGCCAAACCUAACGCCGUCUCUGCCGUUGGUCUUGCUGGUCCCGGUACCCUCUUUUGAUUGACUAGCUAGGAACUGUCUUCUUCUAUCUAGGUUUCUCUGUUUCAGAUAUAUAUCAUUUGCGGUUUCUUUUUUCUUUUUAGGAGCUGCGGAGGUUCUGCCUUAUGUUGAUACCGAUUUGAAGCAUAUUGCUGCCAGGGUUAUCGAGAUGGCUAAAGGUAUCUGUCAGAGCAAAUCGGUAAGUAUUCACUCAUUAAUUCUUCGACUAUUUCAUAAAGGAUAAUUAUAAGAGAGCGUAUACAAUGAUGUUUCAAUGUUUGAUGAGCUAUAUUUGUUUUGAAUCUCUACAUCAUUCAAGCUUAGAUACUCCUUAUAGUUUUUUCCUUCUUUACUUUAUAAUUGAUCUUUUAUAUUUUUUUGUUUUUUUUUGUAAAAGUAAUUUAUCUAUUUUUAGUUACGUACUAGCUUCUUCUCAAUCAUUGAUUCUCUAGGUUUGUGCCGUGUAGGUUAAUGGCGCUAUGUUCGAAGUUUUUGAAGGUGAUGCAAGAAGUAUACUGUGCGAUGUUGUGGAUAAACAUCAUGCUUCUCUUCUUGUCGUGGGAAGCCAUGGUUAUGGAGCUAUCAAGAGGUAUAUAAUAUCUUUGUGUAUUUAAUUAUUAUAAUACUCACAAUCAUCAAUCUUGACUAUUUUUCUCGGCUUUAAUUCCCGACUCCUAUCACAGGGCGGUUCUAGGGAGCGUGAGCGACUACUGUGCUCAUCAUGCUCAUUGCUCGGUGAUGAUCGUGAAGAAGCCUAAGAUCAAGCACUGAUGAUCACCUAAACCCAAGCUGUUAUAUCAGUCAAAGCAAAGCAAAGUCUCAUCUGCAUAGUCGUCAGUUUCGGUGAAAUGAAAUAAAAUUGUGAAACGAUCCAAUCUAUAUAUUAAUAUUCGUGUGUAAAUUGGUUAUUGUAUUCAUAAACUAUUUUAUAUAUUGACGUUUGAUAAUACUAUUGUGGUUAUCUGCUUACCUACAAACAAGUAAACAAAAUAAGUUUUAAAAAACCUCAUAUGAGUGAGAAGACUGUUAUGGAUGAAUAUUGUUGGCUAAUGAUUCAGGGACAUGGAUAUAUCCGAAUAAAAUAAAAAAAAGAGAAGUGUUGAGACCAA